rnacentral:rRNA from 1 species
CCUACGGGUGGCAGCAGUGAGGAAUAUUGGUCAAUGGACGAGAGUCUGAACCAGCCAAGUCGCGUGAAGGAUGACUGCCCUAUGGGUUGUAAACUUCUUUUAUAAAGGAAUAAAACGAGGCACGUGUGCCUUUUUGCAUGUACUUUAUGAAUAAGGAUCGGCUAACUCCGUGCCAGCAGCCGCGGUAAUACGGAGGAUCCGAGCGUUAUCCGGAUUUAUUGGGUUUAAAGGGAGCGUAGGUGGGUUGUUAAGUUAGUUGUGAAAGUUUGCGGCUCAACCGUAAAAUUGCAAUUGAUACUGGAAGUCUUGAGUACAGUUGAGGUAGGCGGAAUUCGUGGUGUAGCGGUGAAAUGCUUAGAUAUCACGAAGAACUCCGAUUGCGAAGGCAGCUUACUAAACUGUGACUGACGUUGAUGCACGAAAGUGUGGGUAUCGAACAGGAUUAGAUACCCCAGUAGUC